UUAUUUGAGUGUAAUAUUAUUUUAUGAAAGAUCAAAAUAAGAGAGAGAGAAUGAGAAUGGGCAAGCGGGGGCUUUGCAAGUCCGAAAAUGAAAAGGAGAAAGUUUUGCCGUACAAAAUGCCAGGGAGGAUCGAUACGAGCCUAUCACUUGUUGUGGAUCGUUCAACUUUCUCUGGAGGGGGCACAUACUUCCACUCCUAUCGCUCUUCAAGUCUCUUUGAGCCCCCUUUUUCUUCCUCGAGCACAUGUCUUCUGGUUCUAUGAAGAGCCUUUCGAGCAACUUUAUUCGAAGAGCUAUGCUUGAGCUCCUUUGAGUUAGAGUUUUGAGUUAGAUCGUGCCUACGGUAAACACUGGGUAGCCAAGUGCGGGCUUGGUAGGAGUGCAGUAUCGAUCGUAGCAUGCCAAGCCAAUACGGAAGUGAUCUGACUCUUGGGUAGGAGGCAGGGGCGAAGGAGCUAAUGUUGUUUGUCAUUCUAACAGCUGUUUAUCGAAACAAAAAUUUAAAGAAUAUUUUUGAUUCUGAACUUUAUGAGGUGUUUGAGUCACGUUAUUUUGGUAAUAAUGCAUUUUUGAA